rnacentral:tRNA from 1 species
GGCUGGAUAGCUCGGCUGGUUAGAGCACCGCAUUCAUAACGCGGCGGUCGUGGGUUCGAACCCCACUCCAGCUACCA